UUUGGACUAUCUUGUGGACAUGUGCAGAGCCGCAUGAUGUGAUUGAACUCGACGCUGAUGUCCCUUCUACAGCUGGAGAAGUGCCGAAGCAGGCUCCAACUCCCAGCCGAGUGAGCAUCAAGGCCAAGACUCCUGUGGUGCAGGAGGUUGCCCCGGCUGGAGUGUCACUCAGACAGUAUCCGCUGACUACUCCGUCGUCUAACCCCAAGGAUCGGAACAUCUUCUAGCUCCACCCUACCCCAAAAGACCAGGAGGGGGCGCACAAGGAGGCCUGGCUCAACUAGACGUGAUAGUUGGGCGAUGGAAGGAGGCAUACGACACGAGUGAAGCUGUGGCAAAGAACAUUCGGGUAAGUCCUUUCUGCAUGUAUUUGUUUUUGAAUCUGAUCCUUAGUAGGAAUCCCGAGUGGGCAUGCCCAGAGGCG
rnacentral:lncRNA from 1 species